rnacentral:rRNA from 1 species
AGUGAACGCUGGCGGUAGGCCUAACACAUGCAAGUCGGACGGUAGCACAGAGAGCUUGCUCUCUGGUGACGAGUGGCGGACGGGUGAGUAAUGUCUGGGGAUCUGCCCGAUAGAGGGGGAUAACCACUGGAAACGGUGGCUAAUACCGCAUAACGUCGCAAGACCAAAGAGGGGGACCUUCGGGCCUCUCACUAUCGGAUGAACCCAGAUGGGAUUAGCUAGUAGGCGGGGUAACGGCCCACCUAGGCGACGAUCCCUAGCUGGUCUGAGAGGAUGACCAGCCACACUGGAACUGAGACACGGUCCAGACUCCUACGGGAGGCAGCAGUGGGGAAUAUUGCACAAUGGGCGCAAGCCUGAUGCAGCCAUGCCGCGUGUAUGAAGAAGGCCUUCGGGUUGUAAAGUACUUUCAGCGGGGAGGAAGGCGAUGUGGUUAAUAACCGCGUCGAUUGACGUUACCCGCAGAAGAAACACCGGCUAACUCCGUGCCAGCCGCCGCUGUAA